rnacentral:rRNA from 1 species
GGUGAAAUGCGUAGAGAUCUGGAGGAAUACCGGUGGCGAAGGCGGCCCCCUGGACAAAGACUGACGCUCAGGUGCGAAAGCGUGGGGAGCAAACAGGAUUAGAUACCCUGGUAGUCCACGCCGUAAACGAUGUCUACUUGGAGGUUGUGCCCUUGAGGCGUGGCUUCCGGAGCUAACGCGUUAAGUAGACCGCCUGGGGAGUACGGCCGCAAGGUUAAAACUCAAAUGAAUUGACGGGGGCCCGCACAAGCGGUGGAGCAUGUGGUUUAAUUCGAUGCAACGCGAAGAACCUUAC